UAUGGAAACUGGUCGUUACAUAAAACAACGAAGGGAGGAUAGAAUUUGUAAAUGUUGUACUAUGCAAUGUAUAGAGAACGAAUAUCAUUUUAUUAUGGUUUGUCCAGCAUAUAGACAGUAUAGACUUAAAUACUUCUCAAAACAUUAUCAUACAUGGCCAAAUAUCAACAAACUGUAUUCACUUCUACAAGUUCAAACAAAAACUGUUAUUUACAAUUUGA
rnacentral:lncRNA from 1 species